rnacentral:ncRNA from 1 species
AGUUACGCGAGGAAGAGAAGAGUAUAAGGCACUGUUUUUUUAGAGAGCUUGGUUAGCUGAAAACAAGUAAAGCAGCGACUUAGAAAAUGGUCUCAGAGCGUUUGUUUGCGAAUGGUUAGCGAGCAACAGAUCUGCCUGUUAUAGCAGUAGAAUUCAUUACAUGGAUUUGACCGAGUAAUCAAACGAAGGUGGUACCGCGAUAUGUCGCCCUUCCA